UACGUAGGGUCCAAGCGUUGUCCGGAUUUAUUGGGCGUAAAGAGCUCGUAGGCGGUUUGUCGCGUCGGCCGUGAAAUCUCCACGCUUAACGUGGAGCGUGCGGUCGAUACGGGCAGACUUGAGUUCGGUAGGGGAGACUGGAAUUCUCGGUGUAGCGGUGAAAUGCGUAGAUAUCGAGAGGAACACCUGCGGCGAAGGCGGGUAGCGUGGGCCGACACUGACGCUGAGGCGCGAAAGCCAGGGGAGCGAACGGG
rnacentral:rRNA from 1 species